AUUGAACGCUGGCGGCAGGCCUAACACAUGCAAGUCGAGCGAGCGGCGGAAGGGUGAUUAAUGUAUGGGGACUGCCCGCUAGAGGGGGAUCACUACUGGAAACGGUAGCUAAUACCGCAUACUCUCGGAUUACCCAGAUGGGUUUGGCUAGUAGGGGAGGUAAUGGCUCACCUAGGCGACGAUCCCUAGCUGUUCUGAGAGGAUGAUCAGCGACACUGGGACUGAGACACGGCCCAGAUUCCUACGGAGGCAGCAGUGGGGAAUAUUGGACAGUGGGCGCAAGCCUGAUGCAGCGAUGCCGCGUGUAUGAAGAAGGCCCUAGGGUUGUAAAGUACUUUCAGUCGGGAGGCGUUACCGACAGAAGAAGCACCGGCUAACUCCGUGCCAGCAGCCGCGGUAAUUC
rnacentral:rRNA from 1 species